rnacentral:rRNA from 1 species
AGUCACGACGCAUAUCAAUAAGCGGAGGAAAAGAAACCAACAGGGAUUGCCCUAGUAACGGCGAGUGAAGCGGCAACAGCUCAAAUUUGAAAUCUGGCGUCUUUGGCGUCCGAGUUGUAAUUUGCAGAGGGCGCUUUGGCAUUGGCAGCGGUCCAAGUUCCUUGGAACAGGACGUCACAGAGGGUGAGAAUCCCGUACGUGGUCGCUAGCCUUUACCGUGUAAAGCCCCUUCGACGAGUCGAGUUGUUUGGGAAUGCAGCUCUAAAUGGGAGGUAAAUUUCUUUUAAAGCUAAAUACUGGCCAGAGACCGAUAGCGCACAAGUAGAGUGAUCGAAAGAUGAAAAGCACUUUGGAAAGAGAGUUAAAAAGCACGUGAAAUUGUUGAAAGGGAAGCGCUUGCAGCCAGACUUGCCUGUAGUUGCUCAUCCGGGUUUUUACCCGGUGCACUCUUUUACGGGCAGGCCAGCAUCAGUUUGGGCGGUUGGAUAAAGGUCUCUGUCAUGUACCUCCUUUCGGGGAGAUCUUAUAGGGGAGACGACAUGCAACCAGCCUGGACUGAGGUCCGCGCAUCUGCUAGGAUGCUGGCGU